rnacentral:rRNA from 1 species
GAUGAACGCUGGCGGCGUGCCUAAUACAUGCAAGUCUAGCGAACGGACGAGAAGCUUGCUUCUCUGAUGUUAGCGGCGGACGGGUGAGUAACACGUGGAUAACCUACCUAUAAGACUGGGAUAACUUCGGGAAACCGGAGCUAAUACCGGAUGAUAUUUUGAACCGCAUGGUGCAAAAGUGAAAGACGGUCUUGGUGUCACUUAUAGAUGGAUCCGCGCUGCAUUAGCUAGUUGGUAAGGUAACGGCUUACCAAGGCAACGAUGCAUAGCCGACCUGAGAGGGUGAUCGGCCACACUGGAACUGAGACACGGUCCAGACUCCUACGGGAGGCAGCAGUCGGGAAUCUUCCGCAAUGGGCGAAAGCCUGACGGAGCAACGCCGCGUGAGUGAUGAAGGUCUUCGGAUCGUAAUACUCUGUUAUUAGGGAAGAACAUAUGUGUAAGUAACUGUGCACAUCUUGACGGUACCUAAUCAGAAAGCCACGGCUAACUACGUG